rnacentral:pre_miRNA from 1 species
CAGGACUGAAGUCUCAGAAGUCAGUGCACUUGGGGCAUCUUCUUCAUAGCCCGAGCUCUGGUCCUUCUUAUACUCCUCACUCGGGACACAGGUGA